CAGAAGUUUCUGAUGUUGCUCUCUUGUUUCAUGUAAAGAUGACAAGUGAUGAAUUUAUUCCCUGGAUCAGAUGCCAAUUUAACGCUAAUAUAAUUCCCCAAAGGUCCUUUAAAUGAACUGAGGCAUUAAGAAUUAAAUGUUCUUUGAGGAGAUACAGUAUCAGCUGUGAACAUUUGAAUUGUUUAACUCUUUGAUGGCUGAAUCAGAAGUGGAAGAGCAGUACUCACAGCUUUUCCAGGUUCCCCUUGAGACUGAGAGUGGAAGGAUGAAGAAACCACAUCUCAUCGUUUAUUGCCAUAGCAAAGCAGCUCAUCAAAAUACUGAGUUAUAUUCUGACAACAGACAUGGUUCAAAUUCUUACCACUGAGUGAAUUUGGCUAAAGCCAGCCAAGGUCCAAGCCAGAGAUUGGAAUAAUUCUACAGCCUAGUUUAAGAAAGGGUUUGGACAACUAUGUUAUUGAGGCAUUAUCUUACAGCUGGUGGUGAUGAUGGUGUUGGAGGGGACAUUGAGAAGUGAGUGUGGCUUCUUCGAAUUUACAUCUACAAAAUCAUCUCACAAGGCUUUGGAUGGUCUGGAGCUAUAAAAGAAAACACUUGCUCAAGGUGCUGUAGAGCAGAACUGAACCUGAAACCUCAUAGCUGGGAAGCAAGCUUCUUAAUGAUACAGCCAUGCCUACAUUUAAAAUGAGUAUGAGAAGUUAAUGUGGCUUAGUCUCUAACCUGUGUAGAAGUAACAUUGUACAGGGGUGGACAAAAAUAUUUAUAAUAUGGCUGGAAAUUUGACCAACGAUAAAUGAAAGUGACUCAUCAAGUAAUACUGCAAAAGAAAGAAUACAGAAAUGGUUAGACAGGAAUGGAGUGAAAAUUUUUAAAGACUAGUUCCAUCAAGAUGAACAGUUUACAGAAACAGCAACAAAUUUGAGUAGACUGGAUCUAAUUUGCAAUGCUCAAAAAAGUGGUUGACCAGUCAGUGUUACCGCUGAAGGAAAUGAAAUGCUUGUUAGCUCAAGCAUUCACUCAAAGCUCCUAAAAUAUUUAAAAAAACAGGCUUGCAAUGAACAAGGCAUCUCCCCAGAUCUCUUAGUUGACAUGAAAAUAACAUUCCACUCAUAUUAAGCAACUCAACUGCAUUCCUAUUUUUACACAGCCCAGUAUGUUAGGUUAAAAUGACUAAAUUGCUUUUGUAGAUCUGUCUUAAUGACUUGAUGAAACAAUGAACUAAACCAACAUGAAAUCAAACAUCAAAUAUUUGAUUUUACCACACAAUGAUGUCCA